UAACGGCGAGUGAAGCGGCAGCAGCUCAAAUUUGAAAUCCGGCCGCCCCGCGGCCCGAGUUGUAAUUUGCAGAGGAUGCUUUGGGCGAGGUGCCUUCCGAGUUCCCUGGAACGGGACGCCGCAGAGGGUGAGAGCCCCGUACGGUCGGCGUCCGAGCCCGUGUAAAGCUCCUUCGACGAGUCGAGUAGUUUGGGAAUGCUGCUCCAAAUGGGAGGUAAACCCCUUCUAAAGCUAAAUACCGGCCAGAGACCGAUAGCGCACAAGUAGAGUGAUCGAAAGAUGAAAAGCACUUUGAAAAGAGAGUUAAAAAGCACGUGAAAUUGUUGAAAGGGAAGCGCUUGUGGCCAGACUUGCGCCCGGCAGCUCAGCCGUCCUUCUGGGCGGUGCACUCUGCCGGGCACAGGCCAGCAUCAGUUCCCGGUCGGGGAGAAAGGCGGUGGGAACGUGGCUCCUCGGAGUGUUAUAGCCCGCCGCCAUGCCCUUCCGGGGACUGAGGUUCGCGCACCCGCAAGGAUGCUGGCGUAAUGGCCACCAGCGACCCGUCUUGAAACACGGACCAAGGAGUCGUCCUAGUAUGCGAGUGUUCGGGUGCCAAACCCCUACGCGCAAUGAAAGUGAACGGAGGUGAGAGCUUCGGCGCAUCAUCGACCGAUCCUGAUGUUCUCGGAUGGAUUUGAGUAUGAGCAUACUGGGCCGGACCCGAAAGAAGGUGAACUAUGCUUGUAUAGGGUAAAGCCAGAGGAAACUCUGGUGGAGGCUCGCAGCGGUUCUGACGUGCAAAUCGAUCGUCAAAUAUGAGCAUGGGGGCGAAAGUGAGUAGAACCAAUCUUUGACGCCUCGCUGCGUCUUGCUGUUUGUGGAAGCAAUGCUAAUCGUUGA
rnacentral:rRNA from 1 species